AUGUCAGGGUCAAAAGCCUGAGACCACGGCAAGCUUGCUUGCCAGUGGGAAAAAGGCUUUAUGACCCGUCCCGGCAUGAGCAUGAAGUGGUGCCAAAGCACCACGGAAAUGCGAAUGACGGGAGGAUUGUGAGAGUGCGCAGCACGAAACAAUCCGUGAC
rnacentral:sRNA from 1 species